GCCGGGCGUGGUGGCGCGCGCCUGUAGUCCUAGCUACUCAGGAGGCUGAGGCAGGAGAAUUACUUGAACCCAGGAGGCAGAGGUUGCAGUGAGCUGAGAGAUUGUGCCACUGCACUCCAGCCUGGGCAACAGAGUGAGACCCCAUCUCAA
rnacentral:sRNA from 1 species